rnacentral:rRNA from 1 species
UACGUAGGGGGCAAGCGUUGUCCGGAUUUAUUGGGCGUAAAGAGCGUGUAGGCGGCCGUACAGGUCAGCUGUGAAAACUCGAGGCUUAACCUCGAGACGUCGGUUGAAACCGUACGGCUAGAGUCCGGAAGAGGAGAGUGGAAUUCCCGGUGUAGCGGUGAAAUGCGCAGAUAUCGGGAAGAACACCCGUGGCGAAGGCGGCUCUCUAGGACGGUACUGACGCUAAGGCGCGAAAGCGUGGGGAGCGAACAGG